UACGUAGGGUGCAAGCGUUGUCCGGAAUUAUUGGGCGUAAAGAGCUCGUAGGCGGUCUGUCGCGUCUGCUGUGAAAACUCGGGGCUUAACCCCGGGCCUGCAGUGGGUACGGGCAGACUAGAGUGCGGUAGGGGAGACUGGAAUUCCUGGUGUAGCGGUGAAAUGCGCAGAUAUCAGGAGGAACUCCGGUGGCGAAGGCGGGUCUCUGGGCCGUAACUGACGCUGAGGAGCGAAAGCAUGGGGAGCGAACAGG
rnacentral:rRNA from 1 species